rnacentral:rRNA from 1 species
UUAUUAUAGCAAAGAGGAUACACCUGUUCCCAUUCCGAACACAGAAGUUAAGCUCUUAAGCGGUGAUGGUACUUGGGGGGCGACCCCCUGGGAGAGUAG